UGGGGAAUCUUGGACAAUGGGCGCAAGCCUGAUCCAGCCAUGCCGCGUGAGUGAAGAAGGCCUUCGGGUUGUAAAGCUCUUUUACCAGGGACGAUAAUGACGGUACCUGGAGAAUAAGCCCCGGCAAACUUCGUGCCAGCAGCCGCGGUAAUACGAAGGGGGCUAGCGUUGUUCGGAAUUACUGGGCGUAAAGCGCACGUAGGCUGAUUGUUAAGUCAGGGUGAAAUCCCAGAGCUCAACUCUGGAACUG
rnacentral:rRNA from 1 species